GAGUUUGAUCUUGGCUCAGGAUGAACGCUGGCGGCGUGCUUAACACAUGCAAGUCGAACGAGGAAUUUUAAAUGAGACUUCGGUGGAUUUUAAAAUUCUUAGUGGCGGACGGGUGAGUAACGCGUGGGCAACCUGCCCUGUACAGGGGGACAACAGCUGGAAACGGCUGCUAAUACCGCAUAAGACCACGGAGCCGCAUGGCUCAGUGGGAAAAAACUCCGGUGGUACAGGAUGGGCCCGCGUUGGAUUAGGUAGUUGGUGAGGUAACGGCCCACCAAGCCGACGAUCCAUAGCCGACCUGAGAGGGUGACCGGCCACGUUGGGACUGAGACACGGCCCAAACUCCUACGGGAGGCAGCAGUGGGAAUCUUCCGCAAUGGGCGAAAGCCUGACGGAGCAACGCCGCGUGAGUGAAGAAUUAUUUCGGUAUGUAAAGCUCUAUCAGCAGGGAAGAAAAUGACGGUACCUGACUAAGAAGACCCCGGCUAACUACGUGCCAGCAGCCGCAGUAAC
rnacentral:rRNA from 1 species